GACGUAGGGCGCGAGCGUUGUCCGGAUUUAUUGGGCGUAAAGAGCUCGUAGGCGGCUUGUCGCGUCGACUGUGAAAACCCGCGGCUCAACUGCGGGCUUGCAGUCGAUACGGGCAGGCUAGAGUUCGGUAGGGGAGACUGGAAUUCCUGGUGUAGCGGUGAAAUGCGCAGAUAUCAGGAGGAACACCGGUGGCGAAGGCGGGUCUCUGGGCCGAUACUGACGC
rnacentral:rRNA from 1 species